CCCAGUGAACGGCGGCCGUAACUAUAACGGUCCUAAGGUAGCGAAAUUCCUUGUCAGGUAAGUUCUGACCCGCAUGAAAGGCGUAAUGAUUUGGGCACUGUCUCAACAGCCCGCCCGGCGAAAUUGUAGUACCGGUGAAGAUGCCGGUUACCCGCGACAAGACGGAAAGACCCCAUGGAGCUUUACUGUAGCCUAAUAUUGGGUUUCGAUGUUGCAUGCACAGGAUAGAUGGGACACAGGGAAACAAGUGCUUUGGCAUUUGUGGAGUGGCCGUUGGGAUACCAUCCUUGCGAUAUUGGAAUUCUAACCUGCGCCUUUGAAUCAAGGCGGGGGACAUUGUUAGGUGGGCAGUUUGACUGGGGCGGUCGCCUCCUAAAGAGUAACGGAGGCGUUCAAAGGUUCGCUCAGCUUGAACGGAAAUCAAGCAAAAGAGUGCAAACGCAGAAGCGAGCCUAACUGCGAGACUGACGGGUCGAGCAGUAACGAAAGUUGGAGUUAGUGAUCCGGUGGUAUGUGAGUGGAAAUGCCAUCGCUCAACGGAUAAAAGUUACCCUGGGGAUAACAGGCUGAUCUCCCCCAAGAGUCCACAUCGACGGGGAGGUUUGGCACCUCGAUGUCGGCUCAUCGCAUCCUGGGGCUGUAUUCGGUCCCAAGGGUUUGGCUGUUCGCCAAUUAAAGCGGUACGCGAGCUGGGUUCAGAACGUCGUGAGACAGUUCGGUCCCUAUCUGUCGUGGGCGCAGGAUAUUUGAUGGGAGCUGUUCCUAGUACGAGAGGACCGGAGCGGACGUACCUCUGGCGCACCAGUUGUUCUGCCAAGAGCAUAGCUGGGCAACUAUGUACGGAUCGGAUAAACGCUGAAAGCAUCUAAGCGUGAAGCCGACCCAAAGAUAAGAUAUCCCACUGAUUUGAUCAGGUAAGAUCCCUUGAAGACUACAAGGUUGAUAGGCACGAUGUGUAAGUGGAGUGAUCCGUUCAGCAAGUGUGUACUAAUAGAUCGAGGGCUUGACCAC
rnacentral:rRNA from 1 species